CAUGUUGCAUGCUGGUUUUAAGUCUACCGUUGACGGUUACAAUUUUAUAGCUUAUACUCCAAUUGUCAAUGGAGAAAUUGCAUUGUAUUUUUACUUCCAGAACCCGCUGUGGGCGGGACUUUUGAGCUCUCUUUAUUCCACU